GUGCCAGCAGCUGCGGUAAUACGGAGGGUGCAAGCGUUAAUCGGAAUGACUGGGCGUAAAGGGCAUGUAGGCGGUUUUUAAGUCAGAUGUGAAAUCCCUGGGCUUAACCUAGGAACUGCAUUUGAAACUAAGAGGCUAGAGUACUGUAGAGGAAGGUAGAAUUCCAUGUGUAGCGGUGAAAUGCGUAGAGAUAUGGAGGAAUACCGGUGGCGAAGGCGGCCUUCUGGACAGAUACUGACGCUGAGAUGCGAAAGCGUGGGAGCAAACAGGAUAGAUACCCUGGUAGUCCACG
rnacentral:rRNA from 1 species